AGAGUUUGAUCAUGGCUCAGAACGAACGCUGGCGGCAUGCCUAACACAUGCAAGUCGAACGAGACCUUCGGGUCUAGUGGCGCACGGGUGCGUAACGCGUGGGAAUCUGCCCUUGGGUUCGGAAUAACAGCGAGAAAUUGCUGCUAAUACCGGAUGAUGACGUAAGUCCAAAGAUUUAUCGCCCAAGGAUGAGCCCGCGUAGGAUUAGCUAGUUGGUGAGGUAAAGGCUCACCAAGGCGACGAUCCUUAGCUGGUCUGAGAGGAUGAUCAGCCACACUGGGACUGAGACACGGCCCAGACUCCUACGGGAGGCAGCAGUGGGGAAUAUUGGACAAUGGGCGAAAGCCUGAUCCAGCAAUGCCGCGUGAGUGAUGAAGGCCUUAGGUUGUAAAGCUCUUUUACCCGGGAUGAUAAUGACAGUACCGGGAGAAUAAGCUCCGGCUAACUCCGUG
rnacentral:rRNA from 1 species